rnacentral:rRNA from 1 species
UAGCCGUAAAACGAUACUCGCUAGGUGUCGGCCACGGCGCGACCGUUGUCGGUGCCGUAGGGAAGCCGUGAAGCGAGCCACCUGGGAAGUACGGCCGCAAGGCUGAAACUUAAAGGAAUUGGCGGGGGAGCACCACAACGGGUGGAGCUUGCGGUUUAAUUGGAUUCAACGCCGGAAAUCUUACCGGGACCGACAGCAACAUGAAGGCCAGGCUGAAGACUUUGCCGGAUUAGCUGAGAGGAGGUGCAUGGCGUAGUCGUG